rnacentral:rRNA from 1 species
AGGGAAACCGAGUCUUAACUGGGCGUUAAGUUGCAGGGUAUAGACCCGAAACCCGGUGAUCUAGCCAUGGGCAGGUUGAAGGUUGGGUAACACUAACUGGAGGACCGAACCGACUAAUGUUGAAAAAUUAGCGGAUGACUUGUGGCUGGGGGUGAAAGGCCAAUCAAACCGGGAGAUAGCUGGUUCUCCCCGAAAGCUAUUUAGGUAGCGCCUCGUGAACUCAUCUUCGGGGGUAGAGCACUGUUUCGGCUAGGGGGUCAUCCCGACUUACCAACCCGAUGCAAACUGCGAAUACCGAAGAAUGUUAUCACGGGAGACACACGGCGGGUGCUAACGUCCGUCGUGAAGAGGGAAACAACCCAGACCGCCAGCUAAGGUCCCAAAGUCACAGUUAAGUGGGAAACGAUGUGGGAAGGCUCAGACAGCCAGGAUGUUGGCUUAGAAGCAGCCAUCAUUUAAAGAAAGCGUAAUAGCUCACUGGUCGAGUCGGCCUGCGCGGAAGAUGUAACGGGGCUAAACUGUGCACCGAAGCUGCGGCAGCGACGCUUAUGCGUUGUUGGGUAGGGGAGCGUUCUGUAAGCCUGCGAAGGUGUCCUGUGAGGGAUGCUGGAGGUAUCAGAAGUGCGAAUGCUGACAUAAGUAACGAUAAUGCGGGUGAAAAGCCCGCUCGCCGGAAGACCAAGGGUUCCUGUCCAACGUUAAUCGGGGCAGGGUGAGUCGACCCCUAAGGCGAGGCCGAAAGGCGUAGUCGAUGGGAAACGGGUUAAUAUUCCCGUACUUGGUGUUACUGCGAAGGGGGGACGGAGAAGGCUAUGUUGGCCGGGCGACGGUUGUCCCGGUUUAAGC